rnacentral:rRNA from 1 species
AGGGCACCACCAGGAGUGGAGCCUGCGGCUUAAUUUGACUCAACACGGGAAAACUCACCCGGCCCGGACACUGGAAGGAUUGACAGAUUGAGAGCUCUUUCUUGAUUCAGUGGGUGGUGGUGCAUGGCCGUUCUUAGUUGGUGGAGCGAUUUGUCUGGUUAAUUCCGAUAACGAACGAGACUCUAGCCUACUAAAUAGAUCGUUGGCUUACAAACGCCAACGACACUUCUUAGAGGGACAGGCGGCGAUUCAGCCGCACGAAACAGAGCAAUAACAGGUCUGUGAUGCCCUUAGAUGUCCGGGGCCGCACGCGCGCUACACUGAAGUGAUCAGCGUGCUUUUCAAUCCUACUCUGUCAAGAGUGGGAAACCCAAUGAACCUUCUUCGUGAUUGGGAUAGGGGAUUGUAAUUAUUCCCCUUGAACGAGGAAUUCCCAGUAAGCGCGAGUCAUAAGCUCGCGUUGAUUACGUCCCUGCCCUUUGUACACACCGCCCGUCGCUACUACCGAUUGAAUGUUUU